GACGUAGGAGGCGAGCGUUGUCCGGAUUCAUUGGGCGUAAAGAGCGCGCAGGCGGCUUGGUAAGUCGGAUGUGAAAACCCGAGGCUCAACCUCGGGCGUGCAUCCGAUACUGCUCGGCUAGAGGUAGGUAGGGGAGAUCGGAAUUCCUGGUGUAGCGGUGAAAUGCGCAGAUAUCAGGAGGAACACCAAUGGCGAAGGCAGCUCGCUGGGACGUUACUGACGCUGAGACGCGAAAGCGUGGGGAGCAAACAGG
rnacentral:rRNA from 1 species